rnacentral:rRNA from 1 species
UACGUAGGAGGCAAGCGUUGUCCGGAAUUACUGGGCGUAAAGCGCGUGUAGGUGGUGGGACAAGUCUGCUGUGAAAGCGCCUGGCUUAACCGGGCGAGGUCGGCGGAAACUGUCCGACUCGAGGACGGUAGAGGGGGGUGGAAUUCCCGGUGUAGUGGUGAAAUGCGUAGAGAUCGGGAGGAACACCUGUGGCGAAGGCGGCCUCCUGGGCCGGCCCUGACACUGAGACGCGAAGGCGUGGGGAGCGAACGGG